GAUGAAGAACGCAGCGAAAUGCGAUAAGUAAUGUGAAUUGCAGAAUUCAGUGAAUCAUCGAAUCUUUGAACGCACAUUGCGCCCGCCAGUAUUCUGGCGGGCAUGCCUGUUCGAGCGUCAUUUCAACCAUCGAGCCCCCGGCUUGUGUUGGGGACCUGCGGCUGCCGCAGGCCCUGAAAUGCAGUGGCGGGCUCGCUGUCACUCCGAGCGUAGUAGUUACAUCUCGCUCUGGGCGUGCUGCGGGUUCCGGCCGUUAAAAGCCUUAUUUACCCAAGGUUGACCUCGGAUCAGGUAGGAAGACCCGCUGAACUUAAGCAUAUCAAUAAGCGGAGGA
rnacentral:misc_RNA from 1 species